rnacentral:misc_RNA from 1 species
GGAAGUAAAAGUCGUAACAAGAUUUCCGUAGGUGAACCUGCGGAAGGAUCAUUAACGAGUUAGGGUCUUCUAGGCCCGACCCCCCAACCCUUUGUUUACUGAACCAUUGUUGCCUCGGUGGGUCCGUCUUACGACCGCCGGGGGAUCGCCGCGAGGCGCCCCCUGGCCAGCGCCCACCGAUAGCCCAACCUUUAAAACCCUUUGUGAAUCGUGUCUUAAGUCUAAAUUUAUGAUUAAACAAUCAAAACAAAACUUUCAACAACGGAUCUCUUGGUUCUG